rnacentral:rRNA from 1 species
UACAAAAACACCGCCUGCUUCCUUUUUAGUAGGUAGAUUCUGCCCAAUGAGACUUAAAUGGCCGCAGUAUCCUGACUGUGCUAAGGUAGCAUAAUAAUUUGUCUCUUAAUUGGAGGCUAGUAUGAAUGAACUGACGAAGAAAAGACUGUCUCAGGAGGGGAAGAGAAAAUUUAUACUCAGGUAAAAAAUCCUGAAAGCUGUAGAGGGACGAUAAGACCCUAAAAGCUUUACCCUUAAAGCCUAAGCUCCUAUAGCUUUAUUAGGCCUGUAGGGUUUUCACUGGGGCGGUGUCUCUGUUAAACCAGAGCAGUUAAAACACUCUGAGUGAAUUUAAUAACCUUAGCUAAAAUAUUUAAGUAAGUUACUUUAGGGAUAACAGCGCAAUUCUCUGUGAGAGCCCUUAUCGACCAGAGAGAUUACGACCUCGAUGUUGAAUUGAAGACUUAGCCAGAGCAGCAUUUGGUAAAAG